UACGUAGGGUGCAAGCGUUAAUCGGAAUUACUGGGCGUAAAGCGUGCGCAGGCGGUUUUGUAAGACAGGCGUGAAAUCCCCGGGCUUAACCUGGGAAUGGCGCUUGUGACUGCCAAGCUGGAGUGCGGCAGAGGGGGAUGGAAUUCCGCGUGUAGCAGUGAAAUGCGUAGAUAUGCGGAGGAACACCGAUGGCGAAGGCAAUCCCCUGGGCCUGCACUGACGCUCAUGCACGAAAGCGUGGGGAGCAAACAGG
rnacentral:rRNA from 1 species